GGCCUGGUAGCUCAGUUAGUUAGAGCGCUGCCAUAUAUAGGCAAAGAUCCUGGGUUCAAUCCCCAGCCGGUCGA
rfam:Serpula lacrymans var. lacrymans S7.3 unplaced genomic scaffold SERLA73scaffold_1, whole genome shotgun sequence.